rnacentral:lncRNA from 1 species
UCUGUGCGGUGGGGGCGCCUGCGUGCCCUGCAGGGCUGAGGGCCUGUUGCGGGGCGGCUGCCUGGCGCCUCUGCAAGGUCUUCCUCCCUCCCUGCAGCUCCGAUCCGCUGCCGGGGAGGGAAACGACCCCGACAGAAACCCGAUUGGAAGCGGGAAGGUUACGCCUCGGAAACAUCUGCCUCCCCCAGCUCGACCAUGCUUCCCCCACCCAGUGAGGCUGAGCUGCGGCUUUCAGUCUGAGCCCCUGCGGCCCGCAGAGGCUGCUGCUGGGCUGGGCCCGGGCGGCACUAGGCUCGCACCUCGGCCCGUCCCCCACAGGAGGGGCCUCGGUUUUCUUCUCUGCACGUUUGCGUUUGGGGGAGCCUCCUGCCUCCACUCACUGCCACGGAGGGACUGGGCCAGGCCCUUGAUUCAUUUGGACCGGUCCAAAGUCUGCACUCCUACUUUGGCCCCUUGCCUCUCAGACCUUCUGAGAGCUGACCCCUUGGGAGAUGAAAGUCUAGGCUCUGCCAGCAGCCUUCAAAAUCAGUCCGAGGCCAGGCAAACUUUGCAGCACUCGUUUGCAGAGCUGGGGAUCCCUCCACAGGUGACACUGGUCUGCCACCCCCGCCUCCCAGACUGUUUCUCUCUCCAGCCUAUUCUCGAAAUAGCCCUCCAGGCACACGCUCUCCUCCGCCACCCACGACUUGCACACCCCUCCGAGCACACAGGCACGCACGAAUUCACCCUCAAGCACACUUCUCCCAGCGCCAUUCUGGUGAUUCCUGGUCCCUGGGGUUAACCCCACCCCGACACACACAGCAAACUUCAUCCUCCACCCUUAUCUCCCGUCCUUUUCAAGGCACUGGCGACAGGCCACUGCAUUUCCUUCCUCGUCUGCAGCCUCUCUUCCCCCUCAAAUACUUCACGUCAGCCCCCUCAUCUUCAUCCUCUCUUCCUCUAAAAAACGUGUUAAUUAAAAUGUAGUUUCCUCUGCCCACAUAUGAAGUGUGGCAAACGAAUCGCAUUCUUGGCACACACUGCAAUUCAUUUAUCCUCCUUUUCUCUCUCCACUGGACUAAAGCUAUAGAAAUUUUAGUCUGCCACUAUCUCCCAUUUUUCUUAAAAAAAAAAUUAUCCUGACCAUGCCUUAUUAUUUUUAAAUACUCCUCAACAUUCGUGGGGAAGUCUUGCUAAGGCUUAAGGAAAAAAAGAUAUUUAGGAAACGCUCAGCCCGUCAUUUUAUUUGCCAUUUUAAAAUAUCUGCAGUGUUUGAGAGAGAGAUUGGGAGUGGCUGUGUUUUCUUCAUUUAAAAAGAAAAAAAUGCUUUGCAUGCAUCAAGGCUAGCCUUUUUAUGCAUACCCCCCCCAAAAAAAGUACUGUAGGAGCAUGUAUCAUUUAAUAGCCUGUACUGCACAGGACGUGUGCCAGACAGAACUGUAGACCCCAGCCCACCUCCAAAGGACGACAGAUUCACAUAACGUUUUCAGCAUGGCUGAUGAAGAGCGCAUUCCACGACCAUUCCCUUUCCCACGGUUCCUAAACAAAACGGAUGUGGGAAACAAGGAAAUCCAGAGAAGCAAAAUCGGGACAAUUUAGGAAGAGAGCUGGUGUUAAAGCUGAGGGCCCAUUCUCCACACAGAAGCAAGAUCCAUAACCCUGCCCUUAAUCUAGCCAAAAUGUCCGGAAGCACUACACAUACACUCCUGAGUCUUCCUUGACUGACAGCCUAAGUUGCCCGCUUCCAGUACUUUCUAUGAGUCUACUCACUUCCCAAGGAGCGGUUGCUGUUUGUGAAAGCAAAACAUAACAACAAUAUCCAGAUACAAAACAAGAUGGAUUCUGCACGUCCAGUUGUCUUGUUUAAGAUGCAAGCAGUAGGAGAUUGUCAUUUUCACCAUUGAAAUGUGGAGCACUGUUUUGAACCUUUGUGGGGGACUUACCAUGGGUGGGAGCUAUUGCAAUCUAUUUUAUUACUCAUUUAACCCUUAGCUCGCCAUCUGCAUCACCCUACUAUGCCCACUUAACAACACUGCAAUGGAGGCAUAGAGUGAUUUGCAUGAGAUCAAAGGGGAAGUCAGGGAAUAGCAGAUGUUGGAUUUUGAAUUCCUGAAACACAGUGGCCCCAGAACCCUGCAUUUCAACCCCUUUCAUUCCACCUUCUAACACUCUUUGGCAGUUGGGUGAGUCAGAUCCUGGCCCGUCCGUCUACCCAUGCUCAAGGUUCUCUCUGACUAUUUAAAGCUACAUUAAAAAAAAAAAAAAAAACUCCCUGAAGGAGGUAGUCAAAAUAAAUAGAAUUUCUGAGAUUCAGGUGGCUUGGAUGUUAAUCAUUAACUUAGUGGUAAAGCUUUAACGGCAGCCUUUACAGCAAUGUACUCACCAGGUUUUACAUUCAAUUCAACAGUAAAAAUUUAAGUAUCUAAUCUAAGUCAGACUCCAGACACAAGCCAAGGCCCUCAGUUUUCACAUUUGGUUUGCCUUUUGUUACAAAGAUUUUGGGGUGGGGGAUAGGUUCGUUUUUUCCCCCCCAAAAGGUGGGUUCUUUUUUUUCUGAGAGGUGGUUUCAUUUCUCUCUCAGGGAGGUAACUCAGAGACCAGCUGGGCCUCUCGCCUGGCAGAAGUGUGGGGCACACUUCUGAGAGCAGGGCCUCCAACUCACAAGGUCACUUCUGCCACAGGGUGGGUCUUCUUAGCCAUUCUCCUUCAAGUCUACCCGUGUCACACCAUGCUGCAGCCUGGUGCUGGUUCCUUUUGUUUCUUUUUCUUUUCUUUUGCUUUUGUGUGUUUGUUUGUUUUUCAAGACAGGGCUUCUCUGCCUAGCCCUGGCUGUCCUGGAACUCACUAUGUAGACCAGGCUGGCCUAGAACUCAGAGAUCUGUCCCCUCUGCCUUCCAAGUGCUGGGAUUAAAGGCCUGAGCCACCACCAAUACCCCCCUCCAGGAGUCAAGGUCUUCUCUCCUUUUUC